rfam:Planomonospora sphaerica DNA, contig: NODE_3_L611948_C31.
GCGGAAGUGGCUCAGUGGUAGAGCAUCACCUUGCCAAGGUGAGGGUCGCGGGUUCGAAUCCCGUCUUCCGCU